UGCCAGACUCCUACGGGAGGCAGCAGUGGGGGAUAUUGCACAAUGGGGGGAACCCUGAUGCAGCGACGCCGCGUGGGUGAAGGAGCGUUUCGGCGCGUAAAGCCCUAUCGGCAGGGAAGAAGGAGGACGGUACCUGAGUAAGAAGCACCGGCUAAAUACGUGCCAGCAGCCGCGGUAAUACGUAUGGUUCAAGCGUUAUCCGGAUUUACUGGGUGGAAAGGGAGCGCAGGCGGCACGGCAAGCCUGAUGUGAAAGCCCGCGGCCCAACCGCGGGACUGCAUUGGGAACUACCGGGCUGGAGUGGCGGAGAGGUAGGCGGAAUUCCUAGUGUAGCGGUGAAAUGCGUAGAUAUCAGGAGGAACACCGGUGGCGAAGGCGGCCUGCUGGACUGCGACUGACGUUGAGGCCCGAAAGCGUGGGGAGCAAACAGGAUUAGAUACCCCUGUAC
rnacentral:rRNA from 1 species